CUACGGGUGGCAGCAGUGAGGAAUAUUGCACAAUGGGGGGAACCCUGAUGCAGCAACGCCGCGUGGAGGAUGACGCAUUUCGGUGUGUAAACUCCUUUUAUAUGUCAAGAAAAUGACGGUAGCAUAUGAAUAAGCACCGGCUAACUCCGUGCCAGCAGCCGCGGUAAUACGGAGGGUGCAAGCGUUACUCGGAAUCACUGGGCGUAAAGGACGCGUAGGCGGGUUGGAAAGUCAGGUGUGAAAUCCUACAGCUUAACUGUAGAACGGCACUUGAAACUUCUAAGCUAGAGUAUGGGAGGGGGAGAUGGAAUUAGUGGUGUAGGGGUAAGAUCCGUAGAUAUCACUAGGAAUACCUAAAGCGAAGGCGAUCUCCUGGAACAUUACUGACGCUAAGGCGUGAAAGCGUGGGGAGCAAACAGGAUUAGAUACCCUCGUAGUC
rnacentral:rRNA from 1 species